rnacentral:ncRNA from 2 species
AAUGAACACGUGGGGAGUCCAUGCUAAUGGGCUGAGAGUAAGCUGACAGCGCUUAGACCCGGAACCUGAUUUGGAUCAUGCCAACGUAGGGAAGCAGAACAGUCAUUUC